UAGCUAUACUAGAGCCUUUGCCU
rnacentral:siRNA from 1 species